rnacentral:misc_RNA from 1 species
AAUCCGCAAGCUUAAGGACAAUGUAUGCCUGCUUUCCUUUCUAAUCUCUUUCUCUCUCUUCCCCCACCCUUCUUCUAGGGUUACGUUCUGAAGUACUUCCAUUGAUUUCAAAAGCUUUAGCUGAAACUAUCAAAAGUACUUUCAACUUGAUCUCCUUGUUUUUCUUAUUACCAGAAGAAUAGCAUACUUCAUCAUAGGGACUUUCCUCCGAAUUUAAUAUAUUACGUUAUCUAGAAUGAAGGGAUAUGUUGCGUUACUAAUUUCACCUUAAUCUAACCCAGAAACGUGUGGUUGAUUAUAAUCAUAACGCACAAGCAUGUAACUGGUUUAAUUGAUCAAUAAAGCUCUUGUUUUUCAUUAUAUUGAGAAGGAUGUAUUAUCAGCAAUAAAAGAAAAGGCGUGACUUCAUGACAUGGUUGACAUAUUCAAUAACAGAACGGUGGAAGGCAAAGUAAAUUCUAUGCUGAAGAUUAUGUGUAAUUCUGAGAAAAUUUAGAAGCAAAAAGUGGAUGAACAGUUAUGCUGUUGUUCAUGUAUGUUCAUACCGUUACAUCCUGAGAAGAUUUCUAUAAGAAAAAAGAAAAAAAAGAAGUAAUUACAGCCUUUUAUGUCCUCAUUGCCCUGAAUAACUGUGAAUCACACUGUAAUCCAAAUAGGAAUUCGGUUAAAAAGGUAUGCUUGAAUUGCUAGGCUUGUUCCUUUACACAUCUUGUUUUACCAAUUAUAAAUCAGUGAUUCUAAACAAGGUAUUAAUUGGCAGGAAGAAUUACGCAAUAGCAUUAUUUCCAUUGUGAGGCAGUCAGCAGCUCUUAACCGUGCAGGGGCUGAAAACAUGAAACCCAGGCAACUUUCGGAUGCCAUAUAUAAUGAGGUUGGGUAAGUUUUUCAUUUCUUUGCAGUUUGCAAAAUUUUUUCAAAUAGUUUACAUAAAUACUGAGAGACCUUACAAAGUUUGAGAAAAGAGACUACAUACAGCUGUGAUGAAAUUUUUUCAUGUUUUGAGUUGGUGAACAAAUUGGAUUCAAGCUCAUGUUAUGAUUCAAUUAUUUUUUAUGAUCUUAUUGUCAGGAUUUAGCAGAUCUUUGAAAUAUUUGUUUUAGAAAUGGAACAUAGUGCUGCAACAAUGUGGGUUUUGACAAUGGCAUUUAUAUAUAUUCUUUUAACCACCAGGAAUGAAAUGAUGAGUAAGCUUUCUGAUGGCGUGUGGGAAAUAAUUAGAUCAGGUGAUGGCAUGAAAAAUGAAAUAACAGAGACUGUACAGUCUGUCUAUAAUAAGUUGGUGGAGCCUAAAAGGAACGAGGUGGGUGAAUCUUCUACUCAUGGAGUGGCGCUGGUUCAGAAUGAAGCUGACAAUAAGGUCCUUGUCAAGGACUCAACUGUUGCAGUGGAUGAUAACUUGUCUGAUGGUGAACUCCAAGAACCACCAGGAUUCUCUCUGUCCAUUAAUCAUCAGAACAACCAUGAACUCAAAGAGGAGUUGGAGCUGCCUAUGCAUUGCCAAGGGACUGUGGAAGAACGGAAGGAAGGGGUUAACCACUCAAAAGAUAAGCUGGAGGCUGAUGAUGUUGAUCCUGGUUUGCCACCUGGCUUUUCUACAGAUAUUGAGCAAAGGCAGCCAUGUGACGAUUGUGAUGAGGACCCUGAUGUGCCUCCUGGUUUUGGUUGAUGAGUCAGAUUCAAUGCAGUAUGUUGACACUGUUUUAGUGUUUGAUGGUGACCAUGAACGACGUAGCUAUGAAUAUGACUGGAGGAUUCCUUUUGCCUCCUUAGAAGCUUGAAAUGGAUCAAACUUGAAGAUCAGGUGAUUUUGGUAUUUUUCUCAUGCUAUUGGGUUUUUUGAUUUAGAAUAUUUACUCAGAGCUUUGUUGGGAAAGCAAAUUAUAAGAUUCUGAGUUUGACAGGGUUAUUCUCAUUGGAUUCCUGCAUUAUGAAAAAUCUAUUGGAGGCCAUUGAUAAUGCGGAAGUCCUUUUCCCUGAAUUUUGGGUUCAUUAGUGUGUAUUCACAUUAUCGUUUAAAUUCAUACCAUGUGCUGUUAUUUCAAUCAACAAGCAAUGGCAACAAACUAUUCUUUUGUGCCAGAUAUCAAGUAUUUUCUACAACAUUGCCCAUAUUUGUGUAAGCUAAAAUUCUUGAUUUUUCAAUCUUUUUGACCCUUUUUUUGGGACUUUCAACUCACCAUUAAGGUUCAGCUUCUUUGGACCCGAUGGCCCUGAUGUGUGUACAAACGGAUAGUAGCCUGGCUAUUGAGUGCAAAGAAGCUGCACGGAUGUGUUCGUUGGUUCCUUACUUAAGUGAAAAUAAUCGUAGAAGGCGAAACUGUAAUGUCUACUCCUGGUGGUGGUGUAACUGAAACAGUAUAAGAUGAGGUGGCGGGGCCGACAUUCGUGAUUGUUGUGGUAUACGUCUGAGUUUGAGGACCAAAUAUGAUUGAGAAAGAAGGAUAAUUCAGCUGUGCUUCAGGUAUGCUUUGCACUUCUGAGCACUUGACCUUGCGCUGCACGAUAUGUGUAAUGUCUCUGUCAGUAUAACCCAAACCACACAAGUAAGGAAUGUAAUCAUCAGGUUGGAUAUCAUAGACAAGCCCUGGAUCACUGGCUCUUGAUGGGUUUACAUGGCCUGCUCCAGCGGCCAAGAUAUCAGCAGGAAGAAGCCUUUCAUCAACAAUUGGCUUGCCAUCAAGGUUUACUAAAUCAGCAGUAGUCAUAAUAGCAGAUUUGAUAGCAGCAGGUGACCAGUCAGGGUGAGCACUUUUCAGCAAAGCAGCAAUCCCACUAAGAUGAGGACAGGACAUUGAAGUGCCUGAGAUCACAUUGAAGUCCUUUCUCAACCCUUCCUACCAGCCCACCUCUAUCACACAGAACUAUCUUGCCUUUGACAUCGACAUUUUCCAACGAUUCUGGUGCACAUACUGCUGAUGAUUGGUUGCCAUCUUUGCUUGGAUACAAGAGGCCAAAAGGUUUGAGUAGAGAGCUGUGGCUGGAAGAGUGAUUCCCCAAAAAAUUCUUGAUUAUUUCCAAGCUUCGCAGUUGCUCUUAUGCUUCUAUCGAUGGUGCUUGCUCCAACAGUGAGAAUCAUGGGGCCUCAUUUGAUAAAGAAAAAUUAUCUGGACCAGAAUUCCCAGCUGAACAACUAACAAAAAUUGCAUUUUGAAUAGCUCCAAAUGCACCCACUGCAAUGCCAUCUGCACCGAAAGGUUCUGAACCGCCACCUAGAGAAAGAGAAAGCACAUCCACACCCUCCUCAACGGCACUAUCCAUUGCAGCCAAUAUGUCACUUUCAGCACAACCUUAGCCAGAACAAACUUUGUAAAUGGCCAAGUGAGCCAAAGGUGCCAUUCCAACAGCUGUGCCUUUGGCAUUGCCAAACACGCUGGCGUCACUUAUGAAACUACCUGCUGCUGUGCUGGCUAUGUGGGUGCCAUUCCCUACAUCAUCAAAUGGUCCAACUGAUUCUGAGUGUUGCUCAAAACUUUGGAAAGUUCUUGCACCAACGAGCUUGUUAUUGCAUGCAGUUCCAUUGAAUUCACAUUUUCCUUUCCGCUUAGCUGAUGGGCGUGGCAUUCCUUCAUCACUAAACGAAGGAUGAUCUGGGGAUAUUCCCGUGUCCAAAAAUCCAACUAUCACUCCCUUACCAUAAGUUGAGUUUCUCCAUAGUCCCAAAUUUUGGUACAACCCCAAGAAGCUGGGACUAUGAGUUGUAUGCAGAGGCAAUAUUUUUUGGGGCCGGGCUGACACUAUACCUCCUUUCUCUUCCAUGGCUUUGGCUUCGUCAGCUGUCAGCUUAGCAGCAAACGCACUCACCACAUUCCGAUAGGAAUAUAUGAUGCGUCGUUGCUGGUUAGUGUUUGAGAUACUAGCCGGCAAAAAUGACUGGCACCAGCCAUGUAAAUCAUGUGAUUUUUCUGAAACUCCAUCCUCUGGCUUUGUCACAAAUACAAUGUAAGUUUCUAAGUUGUUUCCUCAUUGUCAUGGAUAAUUUUCUUGCUCACUACUCCCUUGUUAAUGAUUGCUUGAGAGAAACUCAACAAGGAAGUGAGACUAACAACUGGCGGCAGUGUAAGCCUCUUGUUCUCCAUGAUAAUAGAGAAACUUAAGAAUGUUAAUCCUUGAGUCAACACACCAACGCCAUUGAGGUAUUUAUGAUAGAAUGUAGACGGAGAAAGAGAGGAGAUUGUGUGGGUGUGAAAACAAAGCUAAUUGCUGUUUCUAGUAUCAAUAGCUGGCAAUGGAACCAUGUUACGGCUUAAUUGAUAGUGCUAUUUGGUGAUGUAUACAAGAGCUUGAAAUUUGGAAUUUUGCAUUUCAACUUCGCAAAGCUUGCUACCCUGUGUAGUUAAAAACAAAGUGGUCGUAAAUCUAAUGCUAUGCACCCGCCCAGCCCGCCGCCCGCCCCCUCUUUUGAGGCUGCUCUAAUGUUUGACAGAAAUUUUUAGAACGUGCGGUUGAUUAUAAUUCUUUGUUCAUUCUUGUAAAG